GGUCCGGUGGGGAGAUUAGAUCCAUGGGUCCAAAGGGUCAGUGUUAGCAAAGCCCACCCCUGCCUUGGGGCGGGGGAUAGCAUAGGUGGUUCCUUGUGAGGGGACCCAGGAUGGAAGGUUGCAGGCUGGGAGGUAUGUUGGGGGCGGGAGGGAAGCAGGAGGGGCCAGAGAGAGGAGGAGCGGUCCUGAGUCAGGGCAAGGAGCUUGGCCUUUGCACCCCCUCCCUGAAUCUCUGAUCUCGAUCCCACUGCCCACAUUGUCCUUGGUCAGGCUGCCACUGGGGAGUAGACCCAGCCACGAACUGUCAGCAUCCAAUACUCCAGACUGCUGGGAGCCGAGUACCUGAUCCAGGAGAACGAUGUGGGCACCCACUAUAGGAGGUGCUGAGGAAACAGCAAUGAACAAAAUCUAGAAUCCUGUCAUCAUGGAACUUAAACUGUAUGGAGGGAGACAAACAGCAAACAAAUUAAGCGUUAAGGAUGCCAGAACCUGCUGUGAUUGGGAAGACAUGAGCGAAGCUGGUCUGGUGGAGGGUCGAGCAGAAGUUCAGGGUGGACGUGAUGCCCGUUAGAUGUUUCAGUGGAGAUGUGGAGUCAAGGGCAGAUAUGGAAGGAGGCCCCUCCAUGUUUGUCAUGUAUGCGGUUUGUGUUUCCUGGAUGGACAUAUGAUGGCAUAUACACGUGGAUGGAAAGAGCCCGGAUGGAUAGUCAGGAAACUGUAUCCCAUCACUUAUAAACAGUAGACCACAGAGGAUGUGGGGGCUGGAAAGGCUCUUGAGGAUGUUUAGUCCCACGUCUUUCUUAGAGAUGGCCUGCGAGGAUCCCACCUCACCCAGGAUCACGGAGGGAGGAAGACUGAGUGGCAGAGCCAGGACUAGCUCCCAGAUCUCAACACUUCCGGGCCCCUCGCCUUGCACAGAGCUUUCCACCCACCGUAUCUCACUGGAAUUCUGCCAAGCCCCCCUGCAGGGCUGGGAGGCCAACCAGGACAGAGAAAGAAAACAACUGCUCACAUCCAGAAGAGGACCCUCACAGGACCCAAGCAUAUUGGCUCCUGAUCUCUGACCUCCAACCUCCAGGACUGUGAGAAGCAAAUUCCCCUCAUUUAUAAGCCACCAGUGGAGAAGGAAAUGGCAGCCCACUCCAGUAUUCUUGCCUGGAGAAUCCCAGGGAUGGAGGAGCCUGGUGGGCUGCCAUCUAUGGAGUCGCACAGAGUUGGACACAACUGAAGUGACUUAACAACAGCAGCAGCAGCAUAAGCCACCAGACUGUGGUCUUCCAUAACGUAACAUAGCAUAGCAUGACAUAACUUAACAUAACAUAACAUCAUAAUAUAUCAGCAAUCCAAGCUGCCACAGACACCUACCACGACAUUUUACAAGCUCAGACUCCUUUCAUUGUCCUGUGCUGACUGCUGAGGGUCCCCAGGUGGCAUGCCUGCCAUGGCCAAGAUGUCAUGGGAUGCAGGGCAAGAAAGCAGAAGAAUGAAGGGCCGGCAUCUGAAGCACCCAGAAUGGCUUUCUGCUGUGUCCUGGCUCUCUAAGCCUCACUUUGAUGUGACCCAUCAUUUACUUAAGAUCAACAGUGUGAAAUGUGUUCCAAGGGAUGUGGGGAGAGAAAUACGGCAGCAGCCCUCAAGUCGAUUUCUGAAUUCGAGGCAAAAGCGAGUCUUGGGACUGUGGCUCAUAAAUCAUUCCGCUGAUGGCUGGAGAGGUGGCUCCCGUGAGGUCACCUGUGCAAGAAGGUUGGAGGUGGAGGGAUGCGGUCAGGCUGGUGAUGAACCUAGUGGGACUUUGCCAUGGCUGUUCCCUCUGCUGCAAAUGCUCUGCCCUAGAUCUUCACAGGACUGGCUCUCUUCCCUUUAACAGUCUCAGCUUCCUUGUGCCCCCUUCAGAGAACAUUUUCCUCACCAUCCUGCCUCCAGCAACCCCCACACCCAUCCCUGCCACUCUCCAUCCCAUCGUUUCAGAGUCUUAGCACUUACUACCAUCCUGAAUUCCCUUAGAUAUUGCUUCAUUGUCUGAAUCUCACUAGAAUAAAGGUAAACUUCACAAGAGUUGGGGUCUGCUCACCACUGUGUCCGUAGCCCCUGCAGUAGUGCCCAGAACACAGUGGUCAUCCAAGUGCAUGUUGAAUGAAUAAAUGAGUGAGGGAAUGAAUGAAUGAUGAAUUAGCCAUAGUUGUGGGGACAAGUAGUAAAAACUGCUGGGUAUCUGUAGAAUCACUGGGACACUCAAGCAUCAACAUUAAGGCUAUGGCAUUAACGUUCAGAUUGGGUUUGGCCAGACCUGCUCAUGGACAAGGGGUUAGUGGGUAAUAGUAAUAACUCACUUUAUCUGUUUCAGUGUUCAUUUACCUAUGAUUCUCUGGAUAUUCUGGAUUCGCUGGAUAUUCUGAUUAGCUUGUGAAAACCAAUGUUGCCUUGCUGGGAAAGACAGCAACCUACUUGCUCAUUUGGAAAGGAAAAGACUGGCUACACUCUACGCCUUUACUUGAAAGUUGCCUGUCUGUUUCCUGGUUGACUAUAAUAAAAAUAGGGCCAAUUUCCUGGUCCAAGCACCAGCAGUUGAAUUCACUGAACCAUCCCAUCAACCCUGUCAAGGCAGGUGUGAAGAUCUCUUUUUUCAGGUGAAGAACCAUCUCAGAGGGUUGAAGUCAUGUCUUCAAGGCCACAUAGCUUAGGUCAAGCCCAGGGCUUUCUCCCACGUGCUGACUGGUCACUUGCAGAGAACACUACCAGGUGGAUUUUACAGAAC